rnacentral:rRNA from 1 species
GGAAUAUUGCACAAUGGGCGCAAGCCUGAUGCAGCAACGCCGCGUGAGCGAUGAAGGUCUUCGGAUCGUAAAGCUCUGUCCUUGGGGACGAAGGAAGUGACGGUACCCAAGGAGGAAGCCCCGGCUAACUACGUGCCAGCAGCCGCGGUAAUACGUAGGGGGCGAGCGUUAUCCGGAAUUAUUGGGCGUAAAGAGUACGUAGGUGGUUUUGUAAGCGCAGGGUGAAAGCCCGGGGCUCAACUCCGGCGAGCCCUGCGAACUGCAAGACUUGAGUGCAGGAGGGGAAAGUGGAAUUCCUGGUGUAGCGGUGAAAUGCGUAGAUAUCAGGAGGAAUACCGGUGGCGAAGGCGACUUUCUGGACUGUAACUGACACUGAGGUACGAAAGCGUGGGGAGCAAACA